rnacentral:lncRNA from 1 species
UGACGGCCUAAAUGGUGACUCAGUUGCUUUUCCAGGAGAAGAAGCAAGCUACGGCAAAGAAGUUGGAGUCGUGGCUGCAAAUUCCGGUGAUCCAAGCGCGGGUCUCUGACGAAACCUCUUUACCUCUCUGUUUCAACUUAAAAGUGGAAGUUUGGAACAGUGUGGAAACAAAUAACAUGUUUGUAUUGAAGAGAACAACAAAACAACAGUAACCACUUCCAAUAAGUUUUCUUUUAGAUGACUGUCCUCACACCGUCCUACCACGCUGAGGUACUGCUACGGAACAAAAAUUUGUCUGAUACUUGUUUUGAAACUGUGACGAGUGAGAGAAAACUCAUAGGGGUUCUCUUGUUGCAGAGUUACUCUCCAGAGGACAACAGGUUCGAUCUGAGGCAGUUUCUGUAUAAUAGCAAGUGGCCAUACCAGUUCAAGAAGAUUGACGAGAUUGUUGACGGCCUAAAUGGUGACUCAGUUGCUUUUCCAGGAGAAGAAGCAAGCUACGGCAAAGAAGUUGGAGUCGUGGCUGCAAAUUCCGGUGAUCCAAGCGCGGGUCUCUGACGAAACCUCUUUACCUCUCUGUUUCAACUUAAAAGUGGAAGUUUGGAACAGUGUGGAAACAAAUAACAUGUUUGUAUUGAAGAGAACAACAAAACAACAGUAACCACUUCCAAUAAGUUUUCUUUUUGAGUAAGUCGAUGAUCAUAUGAUCUUGUUAAAAGUUCAUUAUUAUGCAACAAACUUAUGUUUAUACAUGUUUAAAGUUUAGUUUGAGAGCAUGUUUUCUCAGUUGUAAUAUUUAGUAAAAUAGAUUCAAGUGCUCUACACAUUGUUAAUGCAUUUGGUUAAUUAUAAAUUAUUAAGUGCA